rnacentral:rRNA from 1 species
ACGCUGGCGGCAUGCUUUACACAUGCAAGUCGGACGGCAGCACAGAGAAGCUUGCUUCUUGGGUGGCGAGUGGCGAACGGGUGAGUAACAUAUCGGAACGUACCGAGCAGUGGGGGAUAACUAAUCGAAAGAUUAGCUAAUACCGCAUAUAUUCUGAGGAAGAAAGCAGGGGACCAUUUGGCCUUGCGCUGUUUGAGCGGCCGAUAUCUGAUUAGCUAGUUGGUGGGGUAAAGGCCUACCAAGGCGACGAUCAGUAGCGGGUCUGAGAGGAUGAUCCGCCACACUGGGACUGAGACACGGCCCAGACUCCUACGGGAGGCAGCAGUGGGGAAUUUUGGACAAUGGGCGCAAGCCUGAUCCAGCCAUGCCGCGUGUCUGAAGAAGGCCUUCGGGUUGUAAAGGACUUUUGUCAGGGAAGAAAAGGGCGGGGUUAAUACCCCUGUCUGAUGACGGUACCUGAAGAAUAAGCACCGGCUAACUACGUGCCAGCAGCCGCGGUAAUACGUAGGGUGCGAGCGUUAAUCGGAAUUACUGGGCGUAAAGCGGGCGCAGACGGUUACUUAAGCAGGAUGUGAAAUCCCCGGGCUCAACCUGGGAACUGCGUUCUGAACUGGGUGACUAGAGUGUGUCAGAGGGAGGUAGAAUUCCACGUGUAGCAGUGAAAUGCGUAGAGAUGUGGAGGAAUACCGAUGGCGAAGGCAGCCUCCUGGGAUAACACUGACGUUCAUGCCCGAAAGCGUGGGUAGCAAACAGGAUUAGAUACCCUGGUAGUCCACGCCCUAAACGAUGUCGAUUAGCUGUUGGGCAGCAUGACUGCUUAGUAGCGAAGCUAACGCGUGAAAUCGACCGCCUGGGGUGUACGGUCGCAAGAUUAAAACUCAAAGGAAUUGACGGGGACCCGCACAAGCGG